rnacentral:rRNA from 1 species
GGUUAAGCGACUAAGCGUACACGGUGGAUGCCCUGGCAGUCAGAGGCGAUGAAGGGCGUGCUAAUCUGCGAUAAGCGCCGGUAAGGUGAUAUGAACCGUUAUAACCGGCGAUACCCGAAUGGGGAAACCCAGUGUGAUUCGUCACACUAUCAUUAACUGAAUCCAUAGGUUAAUGAGGCGAACCGGGGGAACUGAAACAUCUAAGUACCCCGAGGAAAAGAAAUCAACCGAGAUUCCCCCAGUAGCGGCGAGCGAACGGGGAGGAGCCCAGAGCCUGAAUCAGCAUGUGUGUUAGUGGAAGCGUCUGGAAAGGCGCGCGAUACAGGGUGACAGCCCCGUACACAAAAGCGCAUAUGCUGUGAGCUCGAUGAGUAGGGCGGGACACGUGGUAUCCUGUCUGAAUAUGGGGGGACCAUCCUCCAAGGCUAAAUACUCCUGACUGACCGAUAGUGAACCAGUACCGUGAGGGAAAGGCGAAAAGAACCCCGGCGAGGGGAGUGAAAAAGAACCUGAAACCGUGUACGUACAAGCAGUGGGAGCCCCACCACUAAGCCAGUGGUGAACUCCACAUACGCAUCCUUUGCUGAGGAGACGGUUAACGGAGCGAAAGCGACGUUCAACCUCAAAAGAAGCAGAGGGGGCUUAGUGGUGGGGUGACUGCGUACCUUUUGUAUAAUGGGUCAGCGACUUAUAUUCUGUAGCAAGGUUAACUGUAUAGGGGAGCCGGAGGGAAACCGAGUCUUAACCGGGCGUUAAGUUGCAGGGUAUAGACCCGAAACCCGGUGAUCUAGCCAUGGGCAGGUUGAAGGUUGGGUAACACUAACUGGAGGACCGAACCGACUAAUGUUGAAAAAUUAGCGGAUGACCUGUGGCUGGGGGUGAAAGGCCAAUCAAACCGGGAGAUAGCUGGUUCUCCCCGAAAGCUAUUUAGGUAGCGCCUCGUGAAUUCAUCUCCGGGGGUAGAGCACUGUUUCGGCUAGGGGGCCAUCCCGGCUUACCAACCCGAUGCAAACUGCGAAUACCGGAGAAUGUUAUCACGGGAGACACACGGCGGGUGCUAAUGUCCGUCGUGAAGAGGGAAACAACCCAGACCGCCAGCUAAGGUCCCAAAGUCAUGGUUAAGUGGGAAACGAUGUGGGAAGGCCCAGACAGCCAGGAUGUUGGCUUAGAAGCAGCCAUCAUUUAAAGAAAGCGUAAUAGCUCACUGGUCGAGUCGGCCUGCGCGGAAGAUGUAACGGGGCUAAACCAUGCACCGAAGCUGCGGCAGCGACACCGUGUGUUGUUGGGUAGGGGAGCGUUCUGUAAGCCUGUGAAGGUGUGCUGUGAGGCAUGCUGGAGGUAUCAGAAGUGCGAAUGCUGACAUAAGUAACGAUAAAGCGGGUGAAAAGCCCGCUCGCCGGAAGACCAAGGGUUCCUGUCCAACGUUAAUCGGGGCAGGGUGAGUCGACCCCUAAGGCGAGGCCGAAAGGCGUAGUCGAUGGGAAACGGGUUAAUAUUCCCGUACUUGGUGUUACUGCGAAGGGGGGACGGAGAAGGCUAUGUUGGCCGGGCGACGGUUGUCCCGGUUUAAGCGUGUAGGUAUGUGUUCCAGGUAAAUCCGGUUCACUUUAACACUGAGGCGUGACGACGAGGCACUACGGUGCUGAAGCAACAAAUGCCCUGCUUCCAGGAAAAGCCUCUAAGCAUCAGGUAACAUCAAAUCGUACCCCAAACCGACACAGGUGGUCAGGUAGAGAAUACCAAGGCGCUUGAGAGAACUCGGGUGAAGGAACUAGGCAAAAUGGUGCCGUAACUUCGGGAGAAGGCACGCUGACACGUAGGUGAAGUGAUUUACUCACGGAGCUGAAGUCAGCCGAAGAUACCAGCUGGCUGCAACUGUUUAUUAAAAACACAGCACUGUGCAAACACGAAAGUGGACGUAUACGGUGUGACGCCUGCCCGGUGCCGGAAGGUUA